GAUGAACGCUGGCGGCGUGCCUAAUACAUGCAAGUCGAGCGAACAGACGAGGAGCUUGCUCCUCUGACGUUAGCGGCGGACGGGUGAGUAACACGUGGAUAACCUACCUAUAAGACUGGGAUAACUUCGGGAAACCGGAGCUAAUACCGGAUAAUAUAUUGAACCGCAUGGUUCAAUAGUGAAAGACGGUUUUGCUGUCACUUAUAGAUGGAUCCGCGCCGCAUUAGCUAGUUGGUAAGGUAACGGCUUACCAAGGCAACGAUGCGUAGCCGACCUGAGAGGGUGAUCGGCCACACUGGAACUGAGACACGGUCAGACUCCUACGGGGGGCAGCAGUAGGGAAUCUUCCGCAAUGGGCGAAAGCCUGACGGAGCAACGCCGCGUGAGUGAUGAAGGUCUUCGGAUCGUAAAACUCUGUUAUUAGGGAAGAACAAAUGUGUAAGUAACUAUGCACGUCUUGACGGUACCUAAUCAGAAAGCCACGGCUAACUACGUG
rnacentral:rRNA from 1 species